rnacentral:rRNA from 1 species
AACGCUAGCUACAGGCUUAACACAUGCAAGUCGAGGGGCAGCAUUUUAGUUUGCUUGCAAACUGAAGAUGGCGACCGGCGCACGGGUGAGUAACACGUAUCCAACCUACCGAUAACUCCGGAAUAGCCUUUCGAAAGAAAGAUUAAUACCGGAUAGCAUACGAAUAUCGCAUGAUAUUUUUAUUAAAGAAUUUCGGUUAUCGAUGGGGAUGCGUUCCAUUAGUUUGUUGGCGGGGUAACGGCCCACCAAGACUACGAUGGAUAGGGGUUCUGAGAGGAAGGUCCCCCACAUUGGAACUGAGACACGGUCCAAACUCCUACGGGAGGCAGCAGUGAGGAAUAUUGGUCAAUGGGCGAGAGCCUGAACCAGCCAAGUAGCGUGAAGGAUGAAGGCUCUAUGGGUCGUAAACUUCUUUUAUAUGGGAAUAAAGUUUUCCACGUGUGGAAUUUUGUAUGUACCAUAUGAAUAAGGAUCGGCUAACUCCGUGCCAGCAGCCGCGGUAAUACGGAGGAUCCGAGCGUUAUCCGGAUUUAUUGGGUUUAAAGGGAGCGUAGGUGGAUUGUUAAGUCAGUUGUGAAAGUUUGCGGCUCAACCGUAAAAUUGCAGUUGAAACUGGCAGUCUUGAGUACAGUAGAGGUGGGCGGAAUUCGUGGUGUAGCGGUGAAAUGCUUAGAUAUCACGAAGAACUCCGAUUGCGAAGGCAGCUCACUAGACUGUCACUGACACUGAUGCUCGAAAGUGUGGGUAUCAAACAGGAUUAGAUACCCUGGUAGUCCACACAGUAAACGAUGAAUACUCGCUGUUUGCGAUAUACAGUAAGCGGCCAAGCGAAAGCAUUAAGUAUUCCACCUGGGGAGUACGCCGGCAACGGUGAAACUCAAAGGAAUUGACGGGGGCCCGCACAAGCGGAGGAACAUGUGGUUUAAUUCGAUGAUACGCGAGGAACCUUACCCGGGCUUAAAUUGCAACAGAAUAUAUUGGAAACAGUAUAGCCGUAAGGCUGUUGUGAAGGUGCUGCAUGGUUGUCGUCAGCUCGUGCCGUGAGGUGUCGGCUUAAGUGCCGUAACGAGCGCAACCCUUAUCUUUAGUUACUAACAGGUUAUGCUGAGGACUCUAGAGAGACUGCCGUCGUAAGAUGUGAGGAAGGUGGGGAUGACGUCAAAUCAGCACGGCCCUUACGUCCGGGGCUACACACGUGUUACAAUGGGGGGUACAGAAGGCGGCUACCUGGUGACAGGAUGCUAAUCCCAAAAACCUCUCUCAGUUCGGAUCGAAGUCUGCAACCCGACUUCGUGAAGCUGGAUUCGCUAGUAAUCGCGCAUCAGCCAUGGCGCGGUGAAUACGUUCCCGGGCCUUGUACACACCGCCCGUCAAGCCAUGAAAGCCGGGGGUACCUGAAGUACGUAACCGCAAGGAGCGUCCUAGGGUAAAACUGGUAAUUGGGG